rnacentral:rRNA from 1 species
GUUGUAUAGUCAAGUAAUUAAGUGCAUGUGGUGGAUGCCUUGGCAGUCAGAGGCGAUGAAAGACGUGAUAGCCUGCGAAAAGCUCCGGGGAGGCG